rnacentral:rRNA from 1 species
CGAACGGGUGAGUAAUACAUCGGAACAUGUCCUGUAGUGGGGGAUAGCCCGGCGAAAGCCGGAUUAAUACCGCAUACGAUCUACGGAUGAAAGCGGGGGACCUUCGGGCCUCGCGCUAUAGGGUUGGCCGAUGGCUGAUUAGCUAGUUGGUGGGGUAAAGGCCUACCAAGGCGACGAUCAGUAGCUGGUCUGAGAGGACGACCAGCCACACUGGGACUGAGACACGGCCCAG